AAUCACCGGGGAACCCCUCUGU
rnacentral:rRNA from 1 species